GUGGGGAAUAUUGCGCAAUGGGGGAAACCCUGACGCAGCAACGCCGCGUGGGUGAUGAAGGCCUUCGGGUCGUAAAGCCUUGUCGGGUGGGACGAAUGGCCGCGGACGAAUAAUCCGUUGGCUUUGACGGUACCGCCAAAGGAAGCACCGGCUAACUCCGUGCCAGCAGCCGCGGUAAUACGGAGGGUGCAAGCGUUGUUCGGAAUUACUGGGCGUAAAGAGCUUGUAGGCGGCCUGUUAAGUCUGAUGUGAAAGCCCUCGGCUCAACCGAGGAAGUGCAUUGGAUACUGGCAGGCUUGAGUAUGGGAGAGGAGAGCGGAAUUCCCGGUGUAGAGGUGAAAUUCGUAGAUAUCGGGAGGAACACCAGUGGCGAAGGCGGCUCUCUGGACCAAUACUGACGCUGAGAAGCGAAAGCGUGGGGAGCAAACAGG
rnacentral:rRNA from 1 species